rnacentral:lncRNA from 10 species
UCUAUGGCGAAUUGUUAUAGCAGCUCAAGCUGAUUAGGACAAUUAUUUUAAGAAAGGACCAGAACCAGGGGCAAAAUCUCACAGCUGCAGUAUCAUUUAAGACUCAGAGACAGCCUAUCCUUCUGGGCAAAGGGGCUGAAAAGAAGGACCCUGUGAUCCAAAGAGUUGGGUCCGUAUUGAAGUGAUUCAGCUAGAAAUUGAUAAUCUUCAUUUUAACACUGCUCUGAGUUAAUGGCUGCUCUUGAAAAGGUAUUGAAUCCACCUGGAAUUUCCUUGUGUUUAUGGUUCAAGCUGUUCGUGAGUAUUAUACCACUUGACGACUGAGGCAGAAUCAAAGAAAGUACUAAUGCUCUUCAGUAAAAUAUACAAAACUACAGACAAUGGCAGUGCCUUAUUUUGUAAAGUAUAUAGCUAUGAGCCUUUGCUACUCCUUGCUGACAUUUGGAAUUUAACUGAAGUGUCUUGUUAAAAAACAUUUAUGGAAAUAAAAAGAAUAUCUUUCCUUUUUAGGGAUAUAA